rnacentral:ncRNA from 1 species
GAGCGCUACUCCAUUCCAAAUAGCCAUCCGGACCAGAAAAAAGGAGGAAAAUAUUAGCCGCCGGCCGGCGGUGCGGCAGUGUGGAGACCUGUCGUAAUCCUGUCAGGGUUUCGCUCCCGGACAGGGAGGUACGUGAGCAGAGGCGAGCGUACUACGGCCUGAGCCCAUG